rnacentral:rRNA from 1 species
UAAUACAUGCAAGUCGAGCGGAGAAAUGGGAGCUUGCUCCCAUUUCUCAGCGGCGGACGGGUGAGUAACACGUGGGCAACCUGCCCUACAGACUGGGAUAACUCCGGGAAACCGGAGCUAAUACCGGGUAAUACAUAGCAUCGCAUGAUGCAACGUUGAAAGUUGGCCUUUGGCUAACACUGUAGGAUGGGCCCGCGGCGCAUUAGCUAGUUGGUAAGGUAACGGCUUACCAAGGCCACGAUGCGUAGCCGACCUGAGAGGGUGAUCGGCCACACUGGGACUGAGACACGGCCCAGACUCCUACGGGAGGCAGCAGUAGGGAAUCUUCCGCAAUGGACGAAAGUCUGACGGAGCAACGCCGCGUGAGUGACGAAGGCCUUCGGGUCGUAAAGCUCUGUUGUUAGGGAAGAACAAGUACCGUUCGAAUAGGGCGGUACCUUGACGGUACCUAACCAGAAAGCCACGGCUAACUACGUGCCAGCAGCCGCGGUAAUAC